CAGCAGUGGGGAAUAUUGCACAAUGGGGGAAACCCUGAUGCAGCGACGCCGCGUGGAGGAAGAAGGUCUUCGGAUUGUAAACUCCUGUUGUUGAGGAAGAUAAUGACGGUACUCAACAAGGAAGUGACGGCUAACUACGUGCCAGCAGCCGCGGUAAAACGUAGGUCACAAGCGUUGUCCGGAAUUACUGGGUGUAAAGGGAGCGCAGGCGGGAAGACAAGUUGGAAGUGAAAUCCAUGGGCUCAACCCAUGAACUGCUUUCAAAACUGUUUUUCUUGAGUAGUGCAGAGGUAGGCGGAAUUCCCGGUGUAGCGGUGGAAUGCGUAGAUAUCGGGAGGAACACCAGUGGCGAAGGCGGCCUACUGGGCACCAACUGACGCUGAGGCUCGAAAGUGUGGGUAGCAAACAGGAUUAGAUACCCUGGUAGUCCACACCGUAAACGAUGAUUACUAGGUGUUGGAGGAUUGACCCCUUCAGUGCCGCAGUUAACACAAUAAGUAAUCCACCUGGGGAGUACGACCGCAAGGUUGAAACUCAAAGGAAUUGACGGGGGCCCGCACAAGCAGUGGAGUAUGUGGUUUAAUUCGACGCAACGCGAAGAACCUUACCAAGUCUUGACAUCCUGCGACGGUGCUGGAAACAGUACUUUCCUUCGGGACGCAGAGACAGGUGGUGCAUGGUUGUCGUCAGCUCGUGUCGUGAGAUGUUGGGUUAAGUCCCGCAACGAGCGCAACCCUUAUGGUCAGUUACUACGCAAGAGGACUCUGGCCAGACUGCCGUUGACAAAACGGAGGAAGGUGGGGAUGACGUCAAAUCAUCAUGCCCUUUAUGACUUGGGCUACACACGUACUACAAUGGCGUUAAACAAAGAGAAGCAAGACCGCGAGGUGGAGCAAAACUCAGAAACAACGUCCCAGUUCGGACUGCAGGCUGCAACUCGCCUGCACGAAGUCGGAAUUGCUAGUAAUCGCAGAUCAGCAUGCUGCGGUGAAUACGUUCCCGGGCCUUGUACACACCGCCCGUCACACCAUGAGAGCCGGGGGGACCCGAAGUCGGUAGUCUAACCGCAAGGAGGACGCCGCCGAAGGUAAAACUGGUGAUUGGGGUGAAGUCGUAACAAGGUAGCCGUAGGAGAACCUGCGGCUG
rnacentral:rRNA from 1 species